rnacentral:rRNA from 1 species
CCUACGGGUGGCAGCAGUCGAGAAUCAUUCACAAUGGGGGAAACCCUGAUGGUGCGACGCCGCGUGGGGGAAUGAAGGUCUUCGGAUUGUAAACCCCUGUCAUGUGGGAGCAAAUUAAAAAGAUAGUACCACAAGAGGAAGAGACGGCUAACUCUGUGCCAGCAGCCGCGGUAAUACAGAGGUCUCAAGCGUUGUUCGGAAUCACUGGGCGUAAAGCGUGCGUAGGCUGUUUCGUAAGUCGUGUGUGAAAGGCGCGGGCUCAACCCGCGGACGGCACAUGAUACUGCGGGACUAGAGUGAUGGAGGGGGAACCGGAAUUCUCGGUGUAGCAGUGAAAUGCGUAGAUAUCGAGAGGAACACUCGUGGCGAAGGCGGGUUCCUGGACAUUAACUGACGCUGAGGCACGAAGGCCAGGGGAGCGAAAGGGAUUAGAUACCCCAGUAGUC